GGGCGUGUGGUCUAGUGGUAUGAUUCUCGCUUUGGGCGACUCACCAGUUCACUGGUGGGAAAAAACAAGCAUGCGAGAGGCCCUGGGUUCAAUUCCCAGCUCGCCCC